AAGUCUCGUAGAGGGGGGGGUAGAAUUUCCCAGGGUGUAGCGGUGAAAAUGCGUAGAGAUCUGGGAGGAAUACCCGGUGGCGAAGGCGGCCCCCCUGGACGGAAGACUGACGCUCAGGUGGCAAAACAGGAUUAGAUACCCCUGGUAGUCCACGCCGUAAACGAUGUCGACUUGGGAGGUUGUGCCCUUGAGGCGUGGCUUCCGGAGCUAACGCGUUAAAGUCGACCGCCUGGGGAGUACGGCCGCAAGGUUAAAACUCAAAUGAAUUGACGGGGGCCCCGCACAAGCGGUGGAGCAUGUGGUUUAAUUCGAUGCAACGCGAAGAACCUUACCUGGUCUUGACAUCCACAGAAGUUUUCAGAGAUGAGAAGGUGCCUUCGGGAACCGUGAGACAGGUGCUGCAUGGCUGUCGUCAGCUCGUGUUGUGAAAUGUUGGGUUAAGUCCCGCAACGAGCGCAACCCUUAUCCUUUGUUGCCAGCGGUCCGGCCGGGAACUCAAAGGAGACUGCCAGUGAUAAACUGGAGGAAGGUGGGGAUGACGUCAAGUCAUCAUGGCCCUUACGACCAGGGCUACACACGUGCUACAAUGGCGCAUACAAAGAGAAGCGACCUCGCGAGAGCAAGCGGACCUCAUAAAGUGCGUCGUAGUCCGGAUUGGAGUCUGCAACUCGACUCCAUGAAGUCGGAAUCGCUAGUAAUCGUGGAUCAGA
rnacentral:rRNA from 1 species